AUUGAACGCUGGCGGCAUGCUUUACGCAUGCAAGUCGAACGGUAACAGGCCGCAAGGUGCUGACGAGUGGCGAACGGGUGAGUAAUGCAUCGGAACGUGCCCAGUCGUGGGGGAUAACGCAGCGAAAGCUGCGCUAAUACCGCAUACGAUCUAUGGAUGAAAGCGGGGGACCGUAAGGCCUCGCGCGAUUGGAGCGGCCGAUGUCAGAGUAGGGAGUUGGUGGGGGAAAGGCGCACCAAGCCAACGAUCUGUAGCUGGUCUGAGAGGGCGACCCGACACAAUGGGACGGAGCAACGGCCCAGAGUGCUACGGGAGGCAGAAGUGGGGAAUGUUGGUCAAUGGGCGCAAGCCUGAUCCAGCAAUGCCGCGUGCAGGAAGAGGGCCUUCGGGUUGUAAACUGCUUUUGUACGGAACGAAACGGUCCUGGUUAAUACCUGGGGCUAAUGACGGUAUCCGGAGAAGAAGCCCCGGCUAACUUCGUGCCAGCAGCCGCCGUAACAC
rnacentral:rRNA from 1 species